rnacentral:rRNA from 1 species
UACAGAGGUCUCGAGCGUUAGGCGGAAUCACUGGGCUUAAAGCGUGUGUAGGUGGAUCGGUAAGUACCUUGUGAAAUCCCACGGCUUAACUGUGGAACUGCUUGGUAUACUGCCAGUCUUGAGCCACUUAGGGGCUACCGGAACAAAUGGUGGAGCGGUGAAAUGCGUAGAUAUCAUUUGGAACGCCAAUGGUGAAAACAGGUAGCUGGGAGUGUGCUGACGCUGAGACACGAAAGCCAGGGGAGCAAACGGG